rnacentral:rRNA from 1 species
GACGGAGGAUGCAAGUGUUAUCCGGAAUCACUGGGCGUAAAGCGUCUGUAGGUGGUUUAGUAAGUCUAUUGUUAAAUCUUGAGGCUCAACUUCAAAUCAGCGAUGGAAACUGCUAGACUAGAGUGUGGUAGAGGUAAGAGGAAUUUCCAGUGGAGCGGUGAAAUGCGUAGAUAUUGGAAAGAACACCGAUGGCGAAGGCAUCUUACUGGGCCAUAACUGACACUCAGAGACGAAAGCUAGGGUAGCAAAUGGGAUUAGAUACCCCAGUAGUCCUAGCAGUAAACGAUGGAUACUAGAUGUUGCCCGUUCACCGCAGUGUCAAAGCUAACGCGUUAAGUAUCCCGCCUGGGGAGUACACUCGCAAGGGUG